UGUAGGCGAUAAUAUAUUGAGCCAUGUUUCUACAAGAGCAUUUUGGGAUUCAUAACUCAUAUAGAGUUGUAACCUGGAUAUACUGGGAGUAGCUGUACCUGGAUAUGCUGAGCUUAUUGAGAGUAGCUGAACAGUCCAGUGAAUGAAAACAAAGAUCUCGCCAGACAUGCUGGAGGAUGACAACUUCAUUGACCUUAUCACAAGACUUCAAGGUCGUAGGAUGGACGAUCAACGAUGUGAAAUGAGAGACGACCAAUAUGAGUUACCUGCGUUUUUAAGACCUAACCCUCCAGACCCUCCCUCAAAUCAUCACCCGGCAGAGAAUGGGGCAAUGGGGGGAUGAUAACCCAUUGGAAAUGAUGGGGACGGUCAACAUCAGCAAAUUUCAACAAUGAUGAAUAAUAUGUUAGCAAACUUGCAAUCAAAACGCAUGGAUGAGCAAAGGGUGAGUCUCUCUGGACUUCCUGGGUUAAGGGUCAACGGCGAAGGAGUCAUCAAUCUGCAACAACCAGAUGGCGCUGCAGCUCCACUACCAGUGGUUCUUCGACCAAGACUGGAAAACGGUGGAAUACCAUGAAAUGAAAACAGACAUCCACUCGAUGACACAUUUUUUAACGCUCUCAUGAGAUGCCAGAGCACGAGGUUAAAUGACCAGCGCUCGUCACCUCCCAUAUUCGACGCUCCGGUGCUGCUAACGCCCACUAUCCCAGACGAAGAUUGAUUGUUCGAAUGCAAUCGUCAAGAAUCGAGGACCAGCGCUGCCGUUUUGGUCCCAAAUGGGAAUCCCCUCCUAAUGUGGACCCCGAUAAUGACGACAUAUCACAGUAAAUGUGGGACACAUUUCGAUGCCCACUGUGGCACUAAAUGGUUGUUGUAAACUUGUUCUGUGGCAUUUUUGUGAUGCCUUGCAAUGUUUUUUACUCAGUGGCAUCAGAUAUGUGCCAUGCCACACCUCAUACCUUGCUGUGUUUUAUUACAUGAGAGCCAUGGCACCUACCAAACGGCAUCGAAUAGCCACUAUUGUUUUGCUCAUUGUGUUUUGAAAAACAAUGACGUUUUAUAAAAUUUGUGGCAUCAAAAGUGUACUAAUGCCAUGUAACAUGGUUCCUGUGUUUCAGGCAGUGGCAUCAAAACAAACCAUGCCACCUACUAGCGAGGCAUGGAGAGAAUUAUUUUCAUUUUCACACUGAGGCAUUCAAUAAUGCCUUGAAAUCAAUUUGAUGCCCCAUUUAAAUGCCAUGCUGCCGUAGUAAAUAUCAUCCAACUAUGGGUUUAGGGAUUGACCUCCCAUUUUCUUUGUCAUGGUUAAGAUGCCACUAACUUCCUGUGCCACCAUUGAAGAUGUUUUUGCUGCCAUGUAGUAAUUUUAUUUCUAAUUAUGUCACGCUUAAGCUAACAUUGUGCAGUUGUAGAAAUGAAAUAUUAAUUAUGCAUCAUAAAUACAGUGCUUGAAAUAAGCUGUUAAUUGUGAAGUAACCAACUACGGUCAGGUCUGUGAAGUAGGAAGAAAUUUACGCACUGACUUGAAAAAUAAUUCGUAUGUAUGUAUAGUUAUUAGCUUUGAAAUUUGAAAGCGCCCGCAUAAUUAAUUAAAAAUUAACAAGGCCUUAACUGGCCUAAGACACAGUUGUCUGACAUCUAUUCUUCACUAACGGAACAACGGUUAAAGACUACCAAGUUGAAAUGGGACAAUACACAUAGAAAUAUGGAAGUAAAAACUCAAGCGCAGUGGUUCCCAAGUGGGAGCCCCGUAACCCCCCAAAGGGGCCACAAAGCAAUUGUAGGGGGGCCACAACGUUAGGCUCAAAUCUGAUCUUCUUUUAAUAUCAAUAAAACUAAAAUCGCAAAAAAUUUUGAUACAUUUAAUAUCAUGAAAAAAAAAACUUGCCAAAGUCCGAAAAUUUAGGAUAUGCUCCCAUACACAAACUCUGAAAGAAAAAUAAUUUUGGACUACAAAAACUUCUGGCAUAUUUAGGCCUCAAAGCGCUCCGAAUAUCGAAUGAUUCGAAUAUCUAAUUCCAGACCCAUAAAGUUGAGGGUUUCAAAAUAUCGAUGAAAUCGUGUCAAACUCUCACCCUACAGGCUGGCCUUCAUUACUAACAUCGGUGAAAAAAUUUGAUAAUCGAAACUUACAACUCUUCUACACAUUAGCUGCUUUAAUAAUUUUUUAUUUCAACUUUGUGUCUGUUUAUUAAGUUUAGUUAAUUUCAGUACGAUUUCUUUGAAUAAUCAUUGAGGUGUGACUGGUCAGAAUAAUCUAAUGUUAAUGUAAUGGUGUCAGUGCUGCUAUUUUUAAGCUUCAGUACAAUUUCUUUCAGUAUAACCAUUGAGGCGUGUCUGGUCAGAAUUAUCUAAUGCUAGUAUAAAGGUGUCAGUGCUGCUAUUUUCAAACUCCUUUAUUUUUGAUGUUGAAUCACACUGAAGUUAACUUGACCUCUUUUUCAACUGCUACAAAGUUUUUUAAUGUGAAUAUUGUUUCAAAUUUCAUUUUCUAUGAUCGUAAUUUUCAAAAAUCCGAAUCUGGAAAAAUGUAGUAAUUCACCUUUCUCAUACCUGAUUUAAGACCAGGGCUUCGGAGCCGGUGAAAUUUAUAAUCGACUGCCGACUUUGUUGGAAAAAAUUUUUCAUUCCGGCUGAUAGUAGGGAAAAUUAAAUCUUGAUUAUGAAACUCUGGCAUCUGCAAGUUUCCUUAAUUGUUUAUUUAAAACGGUGAGGUAAAGCAUACCCUCUAAAAAUGGCUCGGAACGAUAAUUUUUUUCGUGUGUGUGUGUGCACUCUUAUCGUGAAAUCGUUAGUUUGAGUACCAACUUCUCAUUCACCGCUAUGUUUCUUUAUCAUAGAUGUGAGAUAGCUGUGGCAAUACAGUGGUUGCCUUUAAGUUCACUACAAAUGAGUCUACGUUGCUUCUGAGUGAGUGUAAACACCUUGCUUUGAGCAAAUUAUUUCUCAGCCAAGUCGCUUCUGUACCGGGUCAAGGUUGAUGUUUAAUUAAUUCAACUUUUUUCAUUUUCUUCUUGUUUUAUUAACACUGUACAUUCAUUUUGAACUAAUUUUUUCCUGUUUUUUUUUCUUUUUCUUAUUUUUAUUCUUUUUCGAGUGAAUUCUGUUAGGAAAAAAGGGUGGCGUUCUCUUCAAUGCAUAAUUUGCAAUUCCGAUGUUCAGAAACAUUUUUCCACAAAUUAUUGGGCGUUCCAGAAGUAUAUUUACCAAUAUGGAGGUAUCUAAUUUUGUUCGCCUAUUUUACAUCAAGUUGUGUAAAGGGAAUGAAACCUAUGGGCAGGGGGUAUAUUCACUUGACUAAUACAAACAGUUUCCGGGACUCUUAAUAGAACUAAAAUAAGGAAAAUUGGAAUAAAAUUAUGGCCUAACUCUGACCUGGUACACAUACUAUAUAAUAAAAAUUAUGAAUGAAUAGCCCUGGUUUUUGUAGCAAGAUAACUCUUUAUAACUAAAUUUUGUUUUAAUCA